rnacentral:lncRNA from 1 species
CUCAUUCUUGCAAUGUGUUCACCACAAGUUGGAACAAAAAUGAUAUCAUUACAUCACUCUAAAACACAAGAUUAAGUCAAGCUCAUACAAGGAGCGAAAUACCAAGUUAUUACAACUCACGGACACAUGUCCACAAUCAUCAUUACACCAGCGGGAGCAAAUUAGGCCCGAGUACGGACAAGUUACAAUUAUUAUCUAAGAGGCUGAAACUGAAAGGAGAGCCCGCCACAAGUUCACAGAACCCUGCCCUGGAAUCUGCUGACUAAACGUCGAAGCUGUCGUCAUCGAACUCCA